UAAUCAUUAAACAAAACAGUAAUUAACAUUUAUUUAACUAAACAUAUAUGAUGUACGGAAAUUCUAUAAUAGUUUAAAACACUAAUACAUAACUACCCAAAAGAUCUGGUGUCACAAUCCACGAACUUCUAAGAAUUUUCUACAAACACUAGUUUAAAAGAAAUACAUCUGUUCUUGAAAUAAUAAUAGACAGGAAAUCUAAGAUAGAGGGAAAGGGACAUCUGGGUCUGCAAACACCGGCAUAUCUACCUUGGGUCUCCUAAUGGACUGAAGGAAGCAACCCAACUCUACUCACGAAGUCCGACACAUAAUCUGAACAGAAAGUGCAGAUAGUAUCAAUACAACCGACCCCAUGUACUGCUAAAUGCUGAGCCUUACAUCGGCGAAGUAAUGACGAGGCUAGGACAUGACAACAAUAUAAACAUGUGCAGUUAAAUAAUACACAAGAGAAUAAUAAUAACAUAAACUUAAUAGAAAAUGACGGGAAGGGGAAAGUCAUGCUGAGGGGGAAAUAUCAAGUUCUGGAAGAAUACAGUUACGAGACAAACUAAAUAUCAUGCUUUGAACCAAUAAGAAUAAUAACUCAACAACAUAUGCACAGAAUCACCCUUCGUGAUUUUAUUCUCGUCCUUACCAUAAGAAACAACAGAAACGACACAGCAUAACUCUUUGUGCAUUAACUCUCUCAUAAUCAUGGAACGACAUCACCCUUCGUACAUUAACACUCGUAGAAUAUGGCACGUCAUCACCCUUCAUGCAUUAACACUCAUAGAAUAUGGCGCGAAAUCACCCUUCGUGCAUUAACACUCACUCACAAUAUCGUUCACGACAUCAGCUUUCGUGCUGUAGACUUUUCUUCACCAAAAUAAUAGAAACAGUAACAUCUCGGCAAGGGAAUCAACAAUAACCAAUCUUGUUUCAAUAGUUAACUUCACAAUAUAGAUCUCAACUUGAGUCAAUACUCAACAAUUUUCCAAUACAAGGGAAAAAUAGUAAGACUUGUUCAACAUGAAGAAUAACCAGUUUAAGUAUGAAAUACAUAUAAAGAGACACAACAGUCACAAGUAUAAGACUCACUUACGUGCUAUGACCCAAAAAUAACAUAUAGAUACUCUCACCUCACCUAUAUGUCGUACUCAACAACUAAACACGUAGAAAAUAAGUCAACAACACCUAAUCACUCAAGCUAAGGUUAGCAACGACACUUACUUUAAUUCGACGGCCAAAAUCAAGCCUCAAUUACAGCUUUGCUUCUUGAUUCCACCUCCAAUCAACUCGUAUCUAGUUAUAAUUAACUUAAUAAUAUCAAUUAUUGCCAAAAAAAUCAAGUUCAAUGCAUAAUUAAAAGUUUUCCAAUAUUUUUUUCAAAAAAUCAAAAACCAACCUGGGGCCCGCUUGGUCAAAACUCAAAAUUCGGGCCAAAACCUGAUUACCCAUUCACUCUCGAGCCCGGAAAUACAAUUUAUUUUGGAAUCGGACCUCAAUUUGAGGUCCAAAUCCCCAAAUUUGGAAAUUCCUAAAUUCUACCCAACACCCAAUUCCACCAUGAAAUACCCUAGAUUUUGUGAUGAAAUCUUGUAAAAAGAUAAAAUGGAUUGAAUAAAUAAGUUAGGAACCAUUUAUCUAAGAUUUUGGGAUGAAAUGGUCUUUGGAAAAUGCCUCUUGAAGCUUAGGGUUUGAAAAUUUGAGAAAUGAAUCAAAUAUUCCGUUGAAAACUCGUUUUGAACACUUGUAGAUAUCGCAUUUGCGAAAACAGGUUCGCAACUGUGAACAUGCAAAUGUUAAGGUUGUCAUGGCUUGUUUGCGUCGCUAUUGCUAACAAAUGGUCACAAAUGCAGCUACUGUUCCAAUCAUAAUUGUGAUGAUGAGCUUCACCAAUGCGAAGGUCCCCUCCUAGCCUACUAAUCGCAAAUGUGAAGAUUAUUCGUAAAUGCGAUGCUUGCAUUUGCGAAGCAGACUUUGCAUAUACGAAGUUUGCGGACCUGCAAAAUAUCAGAAAAUUUUUCCUAAGUCUAAAAUCAUUCCGUAGCCGAUCUAAAACUCACUCGAACACUCGGCGCUCCAAACCAACCAUGCACACAAGACAAUCAUACGAACUUUUUAGUGUGAUCAAACCGGCAAAAUAACACCUAGAACUAUGAAUUCAACACCAAAACACAUGAAAUUGUAAAGAUAGGUUUAAAUUUCAUAUUUUCUCAACCAAUAGUCCAAAUCACGUCCAAUCACUUUCGUUAUUCACCAAAUUUCACAUGUAAGAUUUAAAUAUUUUAAUAGACCUUUACCGGGCUCCGGAACUAAAAUACUGGCCCAAUAUGAACAAGUCCAAACGCGUUAUUCAAUUUCCAUAAGCUUUUAUAUUUUCAGUUUAACAAUUUUCUUCAAAAAUUUAUUUCUCGGGCUAGGGACAUUGGAAUUCAAUUUUGGGCAUACGUCAAGUCCAUAUUUUACUAUGGACCCUUCCACAGCAUUAAAUCAAAAGUCCGGAUUGUUUUGCUCAGAAUGUUGACCAAAAUAAACUUAAAUGAAAUAAUAAAAUCAAAAGUCAAUAUUUUUCUCAAAUUUUCAUAUAAGGCUUUCUUAAUGCACGCUCCGAGUGUGCACAUAAACCAAGAAGAAAUAAAAUUAGGUUUGGAAGGCCACGAAACACAGAAUCAGAUUCUAAAAAAAAGAUGACCCUUUGGUUCAUCACAUUCUUUGCCUCUAAAAUAACCGUUCGUCCUCGAAAAUACAUCUAAAAAUACCUGAGUUGUUGAAAAGAUGGGGAUAUCUGCUCCUCAUAUUGGACUCGGACUCCUAAGUAAAUUCCUCAAUAUGAUGACCUCUCCACUACACACGAACCAAAGGGUAACUCUUCGAUCUCAACAGACAAACAUGCCGGUCUAGAAUAGCUACCGGCUCUUCCUCGUAGGUCAAAUCUUUGUCUAGCUGGAUAGUGCUGAAAUCUAAUACGUGGGAUGGACCGUCGUGAUACUUCCGAAGCAUGGACACAUAAAACAUUGGAUGCACAACUAACAAACCCGGUGGCAAAUCAAUUCUGUAAGCCACCUCUCCCACUCGAUCGAGGAUCUCAAAAGGUUCGAUGAACCUAGGGUGUAGCUUGUUUUUCUUCCCAAAUCUCAUCACGCCCUUCAUGGGCGACACUUGAAGCAACACCCACUCUCCGACCAUGAAAUGCCACAUCACUAACCUUACGGUCAGCAUAAUUCUUUUUCCUGAACAGAGCUGUAUGGAGCCUAUCCUAAAUGAUCUUAACCUUAUCCAGGGAAUCCUGCACUAAAUAGUAUGCUUGGACAGUCUCUCCAUCUGAGAAUGAAAAUCUAUGCCCAACUCGACCCGUGUACGCAACUCAUGCUGAACUUCCCUCUAAAAAUGUGAGGUAAACUUUGUACCUCGACUUGAAAUGAUAGACACGAGCACACCAUGGAGUCGAACAACAUCACGGAUAUAAAUCUCAGCCAAUUGCUCGGUAGAAUAUGAAACUCCCACAGGAAUGAAAUGCGAUAACUUGAUCAGCCUAUCCAAAAUAAGUCAUACUACAUCGAUCUUUCUCUAAGUUAGUGAGAGUUCAACACAAAAAUCGAUAGUCUUCCACUCAGGAAUCUCAAUCUUUUGAAGCAAACCACCAGGUCACUGAUACUUGUACUUUACUUGCUGACAAUUCAAACACUGAGCUAAAUAUGCAACAAUGUACUUCUUCUCCUCCUCUGCUAAUAAUGUUGCUUCUCACACCUCCUUUGUGACACACCAUCUCGAAUGGAUAGUGUAUAAGAAUUUUUUUUUACUUUAAGUGGCAUUAUCCGGAAUGAAAUUAUAUAUUUAUUUUUAUUCAGAGUCGUCACUUGGGAUGGUUUGUUUCUAGUGUCCCAAGUCACCGGUUUAUUUUUAAAAUCCAAAGUUCGAGGAAAAUUUGACUUUCCUUUUGAAGCCUGCGAACCAGAAAUUCUGUUAACCCGAGGGAAGCUGUUAGGCAUCCCCCGAUUCCGUGGUUCUAGCACGAUCACUUAAACCAUUACAACUAACCUUUUAUCUGAUUUUAAUACAUGUUUUAGCCUACGGUAUAUUUUAACUUAUUAACCGCUUUUAAUUAAUUUAGGAAGAUUCAACGUUAUUUAAAAUAUGUCUUUGGACCAUGCCACAUGAAAUGCACCCCCAGUCCGAGAUACAUUUUAUUUAAUGUUGUUGAGAUUUGGUUUUGGAUCACAUGAAAUACACACCCGAGUUUAGAAAAGUACAUUAAAAUAAUGCGCCUAAAAGCAACUACGUGUUGCAAAUUUGAGAGGACCACGGAAAUUCAACUAUGUGGCACGCUUCGAAUUCUAAGGAUCAAUACUAGAUUAAGCAAAUGAGAGCCGUGCAUUUUUAGAUUUUAUUUGACACGACAAAAUUCGAUUUAUCCAUAAAAAAUCAUAAUUAUGUCACACCAAUGUGUCCACAAUUAUGAUGGUGAAUUAAAGCACGCCUAUGAAAUACUACGAAUAAUUGAGAAUUGUUUAUUCGUCUAGUAUGAGACUUAGGCUCUAGAGUUCGUUAAAAAAAUGUUAUCAUUUCAUUUAGAUUCCCUUUCAAUUUUUAAUGGGUCCGUAAUUAGCAAUAUUUUGCAAAAAAUAAACACACACAGUAAACAUAAAUCAAAUUGAUCAAUUGAAACUGAGAAGUACGUAUCACUGAAUUUGCAAUACGUAGAGCCAAACUUUACCCACAACCACACCGAACAUAGUAUAUAUGAGUGUGUUGAAUAGCACAAAAAUUAGCAUAAAAAAUCAACCAUAAAAAUCAUUCUAAAAUUAUCAUCAAAAUAACAAAACAACAACACUGAUGAACAUGAUAAUAAUUACAAUAAAAAAUCAGUUCGUUGUACACUCUUACUAGUUAAACUUCUCAAUAUCAAAUUCCAACUUGCAUACAGGUAUUAUUACUAUGGUAAAAAAUGCAGAAUACAAAGGUAACAUUUUAUUUUAACACUUUAGUCUUGAAUUCAAGCUUUCCCAUUUCAAAUCUAACAAAAGAACACUGCCCAUCAGCGAAAAUUAAACAUAACUAAAAUUAAUCCAACUACUUCAUUGGUAUUUUGACAAAGAUAGGAAGCCUAGAAGGUAGAGACAACGUCAUAUUUUGAAAUUACUCAUAACUAGAGUUAUAACAAAGAUAAGGAGAAGAUUAUGGACCUUAAAUGAAGCUUUCGAUUGAUGAAUGUUUCAGUAUAUUACAACGAACGGAAUCGCGUAGCUGCGAGCAAAACCCGAAAUGCCAUUGAACUCAAAUGGAAUCAAGGACCACACCUUGAACGGAUUUCGAACGGAAAACCUCACUUCGAAUCGAACUAGGCUCAUUUUAUAGUGGUUGGUGGAGUGUGGAGGAGCUGCUCAUUGGUUUUUUGAGAGAUGGGGGUAGGAAGCUACUCAAGAUUAAAGAUUGACUCACAACUUCUGGGAAUUAGGAGGUUCUGCCAUUUCUUAACUUAGAUUUUAGGUGUGUGUUUAGGUUGUUUCAUGGAGAAAAAGGCUCAACCUCCAUGGAAAUGGCUUGGGAUGGAGGCCUUUUUGUUGGUUCUGUUUUUGUCCAAGAAGAAAAUGUUUAGGUUGGGGGAUCCGUGCUUAACAAACGGCGGAUUACGU
rnacentral:lncRNA from 1 species